CAUACGACUCUCGGCAACGGAUAUCUCGGCUCUCGCAUCGAUGAAGAACGUAGCAAAAUGCGAUACCUGGUGUGAAUUGCAGAAUCCCGUGAACCAUCGAGUUUUUGAACGCAAGUUGCGCCCGAGGCCUUCUGGCUGAGGGCACGUCUGCCUGGGCGUCACGC
rnacentral:rRNA from 1 species